rnacentral:rRNA from 1 species
CCUACGGGUGGCAGCAGUGAGGAAUAUUGGUCAAUGGACGAGAGUCUGAACCAGCCAAGUAGCGUGAAGGAUGACUGCCCUAUGGGUUGUAAACUUCUUUUAUAUGGGACUAAAAUGUUCCACGUGUGGGCUUUUGUAUGUACCAUAUGAAUAAGGAUCGGCUAACUCCGUGCCAGCAGCCGCGGGAAUACGGAGGAUCCGAUAGUUAUCCGGAUUUAUUGGGUUUAAGGGGAGCGGAGGUGGAUUUGUAAGUCAGGUGUGAAAGUUUGCGGAUCAACCGUAACAUUGCAGUUGAAACUGGCAGGCUGGAGUACAGUAGAGGUGGGCGGAAUUCGUGGUGUAGCGGUGAAAUGCUUAGAUAUCACGAAGAACUCCGAUUGUGAAGGCAGCUCACUGGACUGCAACUGACACUGAGGCUCGAAAGUGUGGGUAUCAAACAGGAUUAGAUACCCCGGUAGUC